UACGGAGGAUGCGAGCGUUAUCCGGAUUUAUUGGGUUUAAAGGGUGCGUAGGCGGAUGAAUAAGUCAGUGGUGAAAGGCUGCAGCUUAACUGUAGACUUGCCGUUGAUACUGUUUAUCUUGAGUGUGGUCAAGGCAGGCGGAAUGUGUAAUGUAGCGGUGAAAUGCUUAGAUAUUACACAGAACACCGAUUGCGAAGGCAGCUUGCUGGGCCAUUACUGACGCUGAUGCACGAAAGCGUGGGGAGCGAACAGGAUUAGAUACCCUGGUAGUCCACGCCGUAAACUAUGAUCACUAGCUGUUGGCGAUACACAGUCAGCGGCAAAGCAAAAGCAUUAAGUGAUCCACCUGGGGAGUACGGCCGCAAGGCUGAAACUCAAAGGAAUUGACGGGGGCCCGCACAAGCGGAGGAACAUGUGGUUUAAUUCGAUGAUACGCGAGGAACCUUACCUGGGCUUAAAUGUAGAGUGCAUGAGGUAGAAAUACUUCUUCCCUUCGGGGCUCUUUGCAAGGUGCUGCAUGGUU
rnacentral:rRNA from 1 species